rnacentral:rRNA from 1 species
UGAGCAACCUGCCCCUGGCUCUGGGAUAACCCCGGGAAACCGGAGCUAAUACCGGAUACGAGACCGAUUGGCAUCUUUACGGUCUGGAAAGUUUUUCGGCCAGGGAUGGGCUCGCGGCCUAUCAGCUUGUUGGUGGGGUAAUGGCCCACCAAGGCGACGACGGGUAGCCGGCCUGAGAGGGCGACCGGCCACACUGGGACUGAGACACGGCCCAGACUCCGUACGGGAGGCA